UACAGAGGUCUCAAGCGUUGUUCGGAUUCAUUGGGCGUAAAGGGUGCGUAGGUGGCGCGCUAAGUCGGGUGUGAAAUUUCGGAGCUUAACUCCGAAACUGCAUUCGAUACUGGCGUGCUCGAGGACUGGAGAGGAGACUGGAAUUCAUGGUGUAGCAGUGAAAUGCGUAGAUAUCGUAAGGAAGACCAGUGGCGAAGGCGGGUCUCUGGACAGUUCCUGACACUGAGGCACGAAGGCCAGGGGAGCAAACGGG
rnacentral:rRNA from 1 species